rnacentral:tRNA from 1 species
UCCUGGUGGCUCAGAGGUUAAAGCCUCUGCCUGCAAUGCGGGAGACCCGGGUUCGAUCCCUGGGUCAGGAA